UCUAAAUAGCCUUAGGGCCCGAAUAAAUAGGGAUUCGUAUUAAAAUUAGCACGUAGUUUUUGAAAGUUUAUAGGCAGUCUGAGGAUGAUAGGGGGUGCUGAAGUACAAUCCCGAAUCAAGUAGUUUUUGAAAGUUGUCCCAGAAAUAGGAGAUGAACCGAGGAUCUCUAUUUGAUACAAUGGAUGAGGGAACGUCGUGGAGUAAAACAAUCUCCUCGACGUACAGGCGGGCUAACCUAUUGGUGAAAUUUGUA
rnacentral:lncRNA from 1 species